GAUGAACGCUGGCGGCGUGCCUAAUACAUGCAAGUCGAGCGAACAGAUGAGGAGCUUGCUCCUCUGACGUUAGCGGCGGACGGGUGAGUAACACGUGGAUAACCUACCUAUAAGACUGGGAUAACUUCGGGAAACCGGAGCUAAUACCGGAUAAUAUAUUGAACCGCAUGGUUCAAUAGUGAAAGACGGUUUUGCUGUCACUUAUAGAUGGAUCCGCGCCGCAUUAUCUAGUUGUUAAGGUAACGGCUUACCAAGGCAACGAUGCGUAGCCGACCUGAGAGGGGGAUCGCCCACACUGGAACUGAGACACGGUCCAGACUCCUACGGGAGGCAGCAGUAGGGAAUCUGCCGCAAUGGGCGAAAGCCUGACGGAGCAACGCCGCGUGAGUGAUGAAGGUCUUCGGAUCGUAAAACUCUGUUAUUAGGGAAGAACAAAUGUGUAAGUAACUAUGCACGUCUUGACGGUACCUAAUCAGAAAGCCACGGCUAACUACGUG
rnacentral:rRNA from 1 species